CUAAUCAGGCGCUUUUCCAAAAAUAUGCACAUAGCCUCCUCAGAUCCAGAUCUAGGGUUUGCAGUUUUGCAAUUUAUAUCAGAUUCAAAGCCCAAGAUACUAUGGGAUAAACAACUAGAUGUUGAAGGCAAAGAUAAGAAGUGUUAAGAUCUUAGGACGUGGUGUUAAGAUGAAGUAUUAUUUUGCUGCUGUCUCACUUCUUUCUCAAUUGAGCUUAGAGGAAGUUGUUCGUUCCAUGGUUACUCUCUGCAUCUUGUUCAAUUGUUACUCCUGUUUGGUUCAGAUGUGUUCUUAUCCUUCCGAAUCGGGCGAGAUUAUUGAGAUGGGUCGGUGUUUAGUACCAUGGUAGAAUGAAAGGAUUUUGUAUUAACGGUGAUGUUUGACGAAGCACUGCACUUUCAUGACAGGCAAUAAAGUUGAAAUUUCGACUCUGUCAUGGCAAGUUUUAGACCUUGAUCAAUGGGCUCUAGACCUUGAUCAAUGGGCUCUAUGGAAACAUUGAGAAUAGUGCGAGUCAAUAAUUGUAUAAACAUUGUUCUUAACAAUGUUGAAAGAGGUCAUAAGCCUAUAUUUUUGUAAGAAUUUAUUGUUUAAUAAAAUAAAUAAAUUUUUUAUGA